GACAGCAGCAGCCGCGGGAAAACGGAGGGUGCAAGCGUUAAUCGGAAUUACUGGGCGUAAAGCGCACGCAGGCGGUCUGACAAGUCAGAUGUGAAAUCCCCGGGCUUAACCUGGGAACUGCAUUUGAAACUGUCAGGCUGGAGUCUUGUAGAGGGGGGUAGAAUUCCAGGUGUAGCGGUGAAAUGCGUAGAGAUCUGGAGGAAUACCGGUGGCGAAGGCGGCCCCCUGGACAAAGACUGACGCUCAGGUGCGAAAGCGUGGGGAGCAAACAGGAUUAGAUACCCCGGUAGUCCCUGUCUCUUAUAC
rnacentral:rRNA from 1 species